ACUCCUACGGGGCAGGCAGUGGGAAGUAUUGGACAAUGGGCGAAAGCCUGAUCCAGCCAUGCCGCGUGUGUGAAGAAGGCCCUCGGGUUGUAAAGCACUUUCAGCGAGGAAGAACGCCUAGUGGUUAAUACCCAUUAGGAAAGACAUCACUCGCAGAAGAAGCACCGGCUAACUCCGUGCCAGCAGCCGCGGUAAUACGGAGGGUGCAAGCGUUAAUCGGAAUUACUGGGCGUAAAGCGCGCGUAGGUGGCUUGAUAAGCCGGUUGUGAAAGCCCGGCUGCAACCUGGGAACGGCAUCCGGAACUGUCAAGCUAGAGUGCAGGAGAGGAAGGUAGAAUUCCCGGUGUAGCGGUGAAAUGCGUAGAGAUCGGGAGGAAUACCAGUGGCGAAGGCGGCCUUCUGGACUGACACUGACACUGAGGUGCGAAAGCGUGGGUAGCAAACAGGAUUAGAUACCCUGGUAGGCUCUG
rnacentral:rRNA from 1 species